UACGAAGGGGGCUAGCGUUGCUCGGAUUGACUGGGCGUAAAGAGCGUGUAGGCGGCCAGGUAGGUCCGUUGUGAAAACUGGAGGCUUAACCUCCAGCUGUCGAUGGAAACCAUCUGGCUAGAGUCCGGAAGAGGAGAGUGGAAUUCCUGGUGUAGCGGUGAAAUGCGCAGAUAUCAGGAAGAACACCCGUGGCGAAGGCGGCUCUCUGGGACGGUACUGACGCUGAGACGCGAAAGCGUGGGUAGCAAACAGG
rnacentral:rRNA from 1 species